rnacentral:rRNA from 1 species
UACGGGAGGCAGCAGGGGGAAUAUUGCACAAUGGGCGCAAGCCUGAUGCAGCCAUGCCGCGUGUAUGAAAAAGGCCUUCGGGUUGUAAAGUACUUUCAGUCGUGAGGAAGGUGUUAAGGUUAAUAACCUUAGCAAUUGACGUUAGCGACAGAAGAAGCACCGGCUAACUCCGUGCCAGCAGCCGCGGUAAUACGGAGGGUGCGAGCGUUAAUCGGAAUUACUGGGCGUAAAGGGCACGCAGGCGGUUAAUUAAGUUGGAUGUGAAAUCCCCGGGCUUAACCUGGGAAUGGCAUUCAAGACUGGUUAGCUAGAGUCUUGUAGAGGGGGUAGAAUUCCAUGUGUAGCGGUGAAAUGCGUAGAGAUGUGGAGGAAUACCGGUGGCGAAGGCGGCCCCUGGACAAAGACUGACGCUCAUGUGCGAAAGCGUGGGGAGCAAACG